rnacentral:misc_RNA from 1 species
ACGAGGCUUCCCCCUGUGUGUGAGGAGUGGGACUGACGCCUGAUAUAGGUCACCACUUCUAAGAAAGAAAUGGUCAGAAUAUAACGAUUCUACUCGCUGUUUGAGCAUCAGAUGGCGAAAGGGGUCGUCAGUGAGAGAGAAUUGAAAUGGAAUUAAAGCUUCAUAGUCCGGCAGGAGCCGAAGCUGUCAGUUACACGUGGCCACUGUCGAAUUCGGAUGGAAAAGAAGGAGCUAAUGAAAUCAUCGAAACCAUAAGAUGGGUGUCGGAAGAUUUCCCGGAGCUGGAGACGGCAUUGGAUAACAACAUCCUACAGGACUAUGAUGUGAGGAGCUUUGAGAGCAUGAAACAACUGUGUGACAAGUAUAACAGGACCAUUGACAGCAUCCUCCAGCUGUGGAAAGGAACAUCCCGCCCCCAGAAAAUCAAGGAACGUCCAUCUACUGGCCUGCUGAAGCACAUCCUCCAACAGUGCUAUGACCAUGCAGUAAAAGAUCCGGAGAGGCUUAACCAGUAUGAGCCCUUCUCUCCCGAGGUGUAUGGAGAAACAUCAUUUGAUCUGGUGGACCAGAUGAUUAAAUCCAUCAACUUCUCAGAAACCGACUACUUUAUAGACCUUGGCAGUGGAGUCGGACAAGUUGUCCUGCAGGUGGCCGCAGCAACAUCCUGUAAAAUGUGCUAUGGUAUUGAAAAAGCAGAGUAUCCAGCUAAGUAUGCUGAGGAUAUGGAGAAGCAGUUCAAGCGAUGGAUGAAAUGGUACGGAAAGAAAUUCAGCAACUACCAACUGGACAAAGGUGACUUCCUGUGUGACGAAAUGGUCGAAAAAAUAAACAAUGCCACUGUGAUAUUUGUCAACAACUUUGCAUUUGGACCUCAGGUAGACCAUCAAUUAAAACUACGCUUUGCCAAUAUGAAAGAAGGUGCCAAAAUCGUAUCUUCCAAGGCUUUCUGUCCACUGAACUUCCGCAUCACUGACAGAAAUCUCAGUGAUAUUGGUACUAUCAUGCACGUUGCGGAACUGUCACCGCUAAGUGGUGCCGUCUCCUGGACGGGGAAAGCUUUCACCUACUUUGUGCACACAAUAGAUAGGACUCUGUUGGAGAAAUACUUCCUACGAAUGAAAAAUCCGAAAUUGAAAGAUGAUGAAGAUGUGCGUAGAGAUCGUCGAGGGAGACCAAUCCAUCUACGAGAGAAACAUACAUGUUGUUCUGGUCAUGGUGAUUCCAAGCCUCAUGAAGAGCUGAAGAAUGGUGCUUUGAAGAAGAAAAUUCGAGCCCUAGAGGUUAACAAGAAUGAAAUGCCAGCUCUCAAUGUUAUCAAGGACCACUCCUACCAGGCCGCACGCAACCUAGACUUUGACAGUGCCAGUAACGCCAGCACUGCGACAAGUAUGAGUGGCACAGCCGAGGAAAUAGCUCAAGUAAUGGGUGGCCCCACAACGCGGCGACAGUGGUCCGAGUGCCUCAGUAAACCAGCACCAGAAGUGGCCUCCCCUGAACAUCCUCCUACCUUCAGGGAGGAGAGUGACGAGAAUGCUGUAGUAGUUGAUAUCCCUAAGAAGAUGACCAGGACCCGAGCAGCAAAGACGGCGUCAAAGCGACUCAGGAACGGACAGUUAAGGAAAGAACCACACACCGCUGUUGGUGAAGUGAGCAGUACCCCUCCAGUGACAGGGAGAAAGAAAUCCAAUCUGGGAAGCCGUGCAAGAGCCAACAAAAACAAGGAAAAGGAGAAAGUUCUGGGGCUGGACAGUCUCAAUCUGCUGCACACGCACACACUAAUGUCCACAGCUGCAUCACCUGAGAGCAAUGAUAAGUGGAAUGAUCGAAGCAUGGUCUCCAUGACGAACGCAUUCUUCAAGCCGAGUACUCAGGCCCAGACUGUGUCCUCACUGGAGACAGAACCAGCACUCCAACGUCUGCUUGAUCUGUUCAGACACCAGUACAACAAGUUCCUGGCCUACAUGCAGACACCAGACUACAAGUCCAAUCUGUUACUCCAGAUAGAUCAGGAAAGGGAAAAGCAGUCCUGUUUAAAAUCGAGAGUGGCAUACCUUGAAAAGCAGAUUUAUGGCCUACAGAAGGAUAGUGUUGGACAGCUGAAGGCAAGGAUGAGUGAAAUAAACUUUGUUUCCCAGCUUGGUAUAGAUACCGAUUGUCCCGCAGACUUCCUCACCAAGGCCAAGUCAAUAGUGCAGGAACACAAGGAAUUGGAGGGUCAGAUGGGGACUUUAAAAGGCCAGGUGGCUUCUCUGGAGGCAGAUCGGCGCAAACUGGUGGAAGUUCAGCAACAAGUCCUGCUUGAGAAGACUGGUGGAAUAAACGGCAAAAGGAAUGGAUUCCACAAACCUACAGUCCAAGAGAAUGUUUUAAAAGAGAUUAAUAAUUCCUAUUCCCAAAAGAAGAACCUGAUUACCAAAGUACAGGAGCUGGAGGUAAAUUUAAACGACUUACAACAGCAUAAAUUGGCCAGGCUGGACGAUGAUAUUAAAGGGGAUGACAGCCCAUCUCAGGAUUCGGGCAUCAGCCUAACACCAACCGUUCCACCUCCACAGUCACCCGAUGAGGCAGCUACAACCGACAUGUCAGGGAAACCUUUAGGGUUAUAUUUUCAAUCAACAACUGACAAAUCUCAGGACCAAACCAACGUUUCAGCCGACACUAAGCAAAUAAAGAUUGUUACUGGUGCUAUUAGCGGCUUCAGACAGACGUCGCCAUGUAACAACUUGCUCGAUCACAAACCUUCAGCUAAAGACUCAGGUACACUAGGAGUUAGUGCUAGUUCUCAUGAAAACCAUUCCAGUAUAAAAUCAUCACCAUAUAUGUCUUCAUCAUUGUCAUCAUCUUCAUCCCCACCACCACCACGUAAACCCGGUGACGGAUAUACUCCUGGAGCUCUAUCUAUACGAAUCCUUCUAGAGGCUAGUGGGGAGCAGGUGCGUCAGCGGAAUAGGGGCGAGAUAGCUUCCAGACUGGCUGGUUACAAGUCAGGUGUGGUCAAAGACCUGCAUCAGGACUCAACUGGGAAGUUAGAGUAUGAACGAAUCAAAAAGGAGGCAAAGCCUGCUCAUUUGAUCGACCAGGUAGUUCACAUGGCCCUGUCAUCGCAACCAACAGACAGUAACCAGGGUAAUGUGUUAGUGACACACAACAAGAAGGUCAAACUGUCAAAUGGGGUCAAGUCCUCUGCUAAAGGUGUAGCUCUGGAGUCGAACCGACCCACCCUCCCAGUCAGUAUACCACUGGACCAGCUUCAGAAGGAGCAGUUACGACAGAAAAUUCUCAAUCGGACAGGACCAAGCAAGCAUGAGGCGGGUGAUGUCACAAGUCAGGUGUCAAAGCAGUCAAGUAAGUCUGAUCAUGAUGCUGGGUUUUACUCCCCUAUCAGUCGGCCCAGUAGUCGUGGCAGCACCACAGAGUCAGCCGACGAGCCUGGAUGUGAUGUCACUGCAUCACACUCGUACAGUCCUGCUACAGCGUCCAACAGUCCCCGUGGGCCUGGGUACAGCUCAUCUAGACACAGAACGGACUCUAAAGCAAAGACACCUGCUCGUGUGCCAGUAAAUAAUCACUUUGUGGAGAAUAUGUCGACUCAGACCAAGUCAAACAAUUUGCUGCAUGGUAGAGGUCAAAGGGUGCAUACUGAUCAACAGAAGUUUAACUUAGCAGAGGCUUUACUUCAAAUGUCGGAGGUUAGGAGUAACAAACCAGUGUCUCCACGGCAGGCAUUACCCAGUGUACCAACGAAGUGUGGGGACAGCUCCAAAUCACCCAAAAUGCGGUACACUCUAGAGAGCUACCAAGCUGCAGACAGAAAACGACUGAAAAGGAAGAAAACAGAAAUUCUUGAAAAUGAUAAUAAAAAAAUGGCCUUGUCCUCUAAUGCUGUGAGCUAUACCCCGAGUCAUGGGGUGUUGGACAGCAUGCUAGGUCACACCUCUGGGAUCAGUUCAUUCUCGUCUCCUGAUUCAGGAAUGUCCACACCACAUGUACAGAGUCCAUUGUUCCCGACGGCCCGACCAAAACUCAAAAGUCACUAUAAUCUUCAAAACAGCAGUGCCAAAGAUUCACCAAGCAAGAACUGGCAAGCUCAGAUCAGCAGUGGUUUUGACGCCCUGGUUGCUCUAGCUUCAUCAGAAUUGGAUAAAAAUCGUGAAAUUCGUAGGAAAAGUUUAGAAGGACAAAGUCCUAGUCCACGCAAAUCACAAGUGAUACCAACAAAGCAACAUGUCUCUCUAAGGGACUCAUUGCGUGGAAGGGACAAUGAUAAAAGACGGGGUCCUAAAACUCCGCCUGGUUCUCCUCCUAGAAGUAAACGGGGCCCAAGAACACCCCCAGGAUCUCCACAUUCACAGAAAAAAGGGGUCAAGGGUCGGAGAAAUAAUAGUUACAGUUCAAGUCGUAGCCGAAGUUGUAGUCUUUCCAGAACCUCUAGUCACACGCAGAGCAGCAGGAGUAGCUCCCGCAGUAGUUGUUACUCCAGCAGUAGGAGCAGAAGUCGAUCUCGGAGCUCGUCAUCCAGUCGGAGUUCUGGGAGUGGGCGCCACAGGAACACUAAAAUUAGUUUGAAGAAGGCUAGUGAAACAGUUAACAAACCUGUGGUGACUCACCCUGUGAUCAAUUCCAACAUAAAACCAGUGUCCCAGCAAUACUCAGGAAACAAUAGUACUAGCGUGCCAAAACAGCCGGCGCCCCUGGUUAGCAACGCUGUGACAGGUACAGUGAUGAACAAUACUAAUUAUUGUGUUUUAAAUAAUGGGACCUCCUUUGGGGGAGGUAUGAUGUUGAUGACAAACAACCAGCUUCACACUGGCACCACCACCACUGGUAUUUCACAGCGACCCAUGACCAAUCAGAUGCCAAUUAUUCCUUCAUCCAUACCCAGUAAUUUGGUUGUGUUGUCUUUUACUCCGCAAAACAACAGUAUGAACAAUCAGAUCCUAGGGGGUCCUACAGCCGCCCUACAGACCAGUACCAUAACCCAGCAGCCUGCUCCCCAGGUCCCAAAUCUCUCGGAACAGUUAAAACAAUGUGCAAAACAGCCCCCACCACCCCCACCAAACAAUGACAAUGUUCAGAAAGGAUUAACCCUACAGCCGACAGCACAAAAUAUUCACUACACAAACCCUGGGCCAGUGUUCGUUUCCACAGCUCCAAACUUCAGUCUGCCUGAUCUAAGCAGACCACCACCCAACAUGGCCCUGAAGCCACCGAACUCAAGUCUUCCAGGUAGCGGGGGAGGGACUGUCGUGGCUACUCCAACAGGCCAGCUACAGAUGUGUGCGGGCGGGGCAGGGCAGCCUGCCACGCCUGUAUUCACCAUCAACCACCGGCCCCCUUCCAUCACCCCCACCCCAAUCAGGCCACGAUCUGAUCUACCUCCAAGGCCAAUGACCACAUUCAAUGAACGGCCUUUCACACCAGGCAAUGUAGGCAAUAUACCUGAUUUUACUCGGCCUCCAGUUAACUUACAGCCAAGAUUGCCCUCGCCUGCUAAAGGCCAACAUCAACAGCAGGGACCCAGGCCACAACAGAACCAACCUGCUAAUUUCCGUGGGCCCAUACAAAUCCGUCCAGCCAUAUCCAACCCAGCAGGUCCUAGGCUAGAUGCCUCUGCUACAAGGUUCCAGGGCUAUGCUACACUACAGCCUACCCAGCAAACCAGCAACAUCAGACUGGGAAUGUUUGCUAACCAGAGUGGACCCAGACAGCAGUUCAAUGGACCAGGACAACAAAAUUGGCAAAUGUGAUGACAGAAAUGGACUACACGUGGCCUUGACCCUGUUUGUAAUGACUUCACUAGGCAAUAAGUAAACAUCAGUGUAGCGGAUAUGGCAAACUUUAAGGGAGAUAAUACGCACAACUUUUUACACCUACUUAGAAUUUAUUUACUGAUUUCUAGGACAUAUGAAAUGAAUUUAGGUGUACCUUCAAAUUUGUAUGAGUAUUAGAAAGAUGAAAUGCUUGGUAACUAAAAUACAAAAUGAGGUCAUUUUGUUUUGGAAAUUAAGUCGAAACACACUGGUACUCAAACAUAUUCAUUUUUCUCUUGUUUGCAUUAAUUUGAAUGUUAUGAAAUGUAUAUAUUUUAACAUCUGUAACAUUUUGGUUUUGAUGGACAUUGGUCAUAUAGCACAGUAAAACGCUGUUGUAAAAGGGGAUAAUUUGACCGGUGGUAUGAUGUCGAGGUGUAUGUAAGGAGAAUUCAUUAUUUUCACACGGCCAGAGUAGUCAUUUUUACAACAGCUGAUUAGAGUUAUAAUAAAUGUCAUCAAAGCUAUGUAGCUCAUUUUACUGAUCUGCUCCCCAGCAUCGUGAACCAGAAUUUGAAUGUCAUUUAAUAGUUCAAUGCAGUUACAAAAUAUGAUUUUAUAUGAAAUGUAUACCCAUAUAUUGUAAAUAUGUAAAACUUGACUAUGCUGGUAUUAGAACCGAUUUUCAGGAGGAAUGUUUACCUGGUAAUUCAUUUCCAUUCGAAAUUAGAGAUUUUUUUUUAACCCAGCAUAGUUCAAUAUUGUUGAAAAGCAUGUAUUUCACCAAGGGUUAACAUACUCUGUGUGCUACUAAUAUAACAGACCAGUGAUAUAGAUGUUACCAUCACUGCUGUACAAGGGUAAAACAGUCUUAUAAAAUGUCAUAUCAUAUAUGUAUAGUGCUUUGCUGUAUAAUUGCAAAGUUGACCAUAAAUCGUUGAAACACCAUAAAUCGGUGAAACAAAAUGCAUGUCUGAAUUACCUCGGUGCCAGUAUUUAGGGAGAACAAUGUAUCGGUGGCUGAGAAUUAGGAAGUAUCCAGUUAAGCAGAUGAAUGUCUGAAUUAGUGCUAGUAUCCAAGGGAAUAACAUGCGUAUAGCUCAUAGAUGGCUGAAAAUGAGAUAGUACAGUUGAAGCUGCAAAAUUGAGUAUUUUAACUCAUUCACCCCUGAAAUUUCAUCAUGCACUAUUUCAACCUUUAAACUGGAAGAGUUCAAAUGUGUCUUCAGAGGUGAAUGAGUUAAAAAAAUUAAUGGAACAAUUCAAUGUCAGAAUUAUGUUCAUGUUAAUAUCCAAAGGAUUGCUCAAAACUAGUGUCAGCAAAGUAGAACAGAUGAAAGGUUUCAGCGACUGAAUUGUGUUAGUGCUAGUAUCCAAGGAACAAAAUAUAGAUUGCUCAAAGUUAGGCCAGUAUCAGCAAAGCUGAAUAAUUGAACAUUUAACAGUGAAACAGAUAAAUGUCUGAAGUAUGCAUGUUAUUAUUAGUAGAAAGUUAUCCUGUAAAAGUUAAUCCUUGAUAAUAAGCCCUAGCCUACUGGAAGUUGAAAGUGUAGUACAAUGUACAUACAUACAAGAUUCAAAACUGUCACAGUGCAGUCAGUUUUACAGCUCACAAAGCUGAAAUUCUUGUUGAAGAUUUUACAUAAACGUUAUAAGGUAUAUGAUAUAUGUCUGUGGGAUUUAAGAACCGUCUUUAUCAGACACAUCGCAUAUCGAUACUCUUGUUUGAUAAGGAAAGUUGGAAUUUUGAUUGGAAAAGUUUCUUGAUGAACAGUUUGUAAAGUUCAGCAAACAAGACUACAUAUAGCCAAGCCCAGGAUUUUAGAGUUUUGUACUGAUUAUUAAGCAUUAAUUGAAAUCCUAAGGAAUGACAUGGGUUUCUCGUCCUUUUGUUGGGUGCCAAAUCUGACAACUAUUCUGCCAUACAAUUAAUUUAUAGCAGCACCCAUGCAAUACCAAGUUUUGAGCUUAAAAUGAUGCAUAUAUGUAUUUUGAGAUACUAUUUCCCAUUUACAUGGAUGAAACUAACCUCACUGAUUUUUUGUUUUGUAUUUUGAUGAUUUUUCUUAACAUUUAUACUGGAUUUAUUCACCUUUUCCCCUCUUUUAUAUAUUUAUGUAACAUUGUUUUAAUAAUUAUGAAAGUUAGAGUAAAUGUUUUAUUUAUUACUGUACAUCAUGUGUGAAUGACAUUUUGUAAUUUUGAUGAACAGGUAUUAGAUUCCACUAGCUGACUACUGCACAAACAACGCUGUACAAGUAAACUUGGUUAAUACCAGCACUUGACUUACAGGAUAUGGUCUCUGAUUUUCCAACAUGAUUUUAUGGUCCCAAAGAUUGAUUUCUCAGUCUUUUAUCGCUGACAAACUGUCAUAUCCAAUCAAAUGAUCCAAGACCCCUGUGAUGUUGGCAGGUUACACUGUAUUAUUCCAAAUCGUACUUUAUCAUGCAGAAAAUUGUUUAUGCUGGUCAGGUUUUGGAAAUAUGAGACUUCUGCAUUUUGUCAGCUUUUGAAGUGUAAUGCUGUUUCUCAAACAAACAUAUCUAACCACAGUAAAUGAACUGGCCUGUAGAAUUUGUUAUGAUAUGUUUUGGAGGAUCAGACCCAAGUCAUGCCUCUUCAUUAACACUGUUGUCACUUGUAAUGUCAUUGGUUAAGAAUUUCAUAUUCAACUGAUAUUUUCACACAAAUUGUAUACGAAGAAAGCAGUACAGUCCUAUUAAUUAAUUUCUGUAUUGAAUAAAAUUUGCUCUUCAUACAGUCCUAUUCAUUUCUGUUUUGAAUCAACUUUGUACUAUUUGCACAACAUUUUUUAAUCAAAAUGUCUAUAUCACAACAGAAUACUACAGUGAAAGUAUCAAAAAUGAACGGUGGGUUGUCCAGGGUGUUGGCUUUUUACUGGUAUGGGUACAAUGUAUUAUGAUUUUAAAAUAACUUGAUGUUGAAUUAUAAGAGGGUAUGUGUAACAUUAGCAGGAUUUUCAUCAUGUAUUGGAUGUUUGUUCUGGGGCAGAUAAAAUUUCUUGCUAUAUAAUUAGUGCCGAGUUCCCUCUGAAUAUCUAUUUAACCCUCUCACCCCUAAGUAACUUUAGUGGACUCUACCAUGCAUUUAUUGGGAUUAGGCCAUUAUGGUCUACAGUGGUGAAAGGGUUAACUUGGCUAUCUCUUUGAUGGGAUGGAUAGGGAGAUGCUUGUCUUAAAAAGGAUCCAACAGUUAAUGUCAAAAUUGAUAUUUAAUGAAAUUAGAAUUACAACUGAAGGAUGUGAGACGGGUGAAGUGAGAUAACUGGUGGUCCACAUACAGGUGGCAGUAAAAUUCAUGGUUAUAGGAAUAAGACAGAACAUAACUAUUCUAUCUAUAUCCAUGUUUCUGGUCCCUGUGAGUCGAUGUGAAGCUGAGAAAAUGCUUGGCCAGCAAAGGGAGAGAACUGUUGUGCCACUGUAUGCGACAGUGUUGUUUAUUGAACGAUGUGAAUACUGUGUAGGUAUGUAUAGUGCAUGUUGGCAUUCAUAAAUCUUGAUCAAGUGAUUAUGUUAUGGUGCACAGUUAUUUCAUAUAGUUAUUUAUCUGUUUUCUUCUGUUGUCAUUAGCCUGUGUACAUAAGCAUUAAGUUAAAACCAACAUUGAUUAAUACUGUCUUGUAAAGUUUUUAUGAUCUCGUCGUUUGAUAUUUAGAUAGAUAUAUAUUAUAUACAGAUUAAAUGAUGUGAGGAGAGUGUUAUUUGUAUGUUUUAGGUUUCCCUUGUUGGUCACUAAGCACUCAAUCUGACAUUGUCAAAACUGUGAAACCCAGCAUUCUUGUGGUGAGAACUGCAGACUUAAAUUCAACACACUUUUAAUAUUGAAAUAAUAGAGAUUGGAGUAUUUAACAUACUCUACUCCCAAAGCAAAAGAUCUAGCCACAAAAUUGACGUUCAUGAAACAUUGACUUUGCCAGAAUGAUAAAAGGAGCAGGGUGGCCAGCAGAGAUAGUAUACCUGAUGCUAUUGUCACAUUAUUGCAUGUCUCUGUGGGAGUUUGUUCAUUUGAUGAGACCUCUGAGAAUCUGUUGGUUGGUUUUUAGAUUGAUUGAACUGUCAAAAGAUGACUUGUUCGACACACUGCAUGAAGUUAAUUGUUUUUGUAUGCUGUUAUUUGUGAAGGUGUGUACGAAAACACUUGUAAUCAUAAUACAUUAUGUUAACUUCUUUAGCUGUUUUUAAGAUUUUAAAUUAUUUUGUUUCAGUUGAAUUUAUUUUCUCUAAAUACAAAUUUAAAUGAACAGUUGACUAACACUUUUCAACAAUUUUGUCUUUUUGAGAUGUUUUGAUAUCUGGUCUUCUUUCUGUGUACAUAUUGUAUAAUACAAGUGGUGUUUUUUUAUGUAUGAAGCGAUAAAUGAAGAAUCUGAAAGUCGGAUGUAAAGUCUUGUAGAAAUGAGAAGUCCAAAAUUUGUCUGAAUUUGUAGAAAAAUAUUUAUCCUGUAGAAAUUGAAUAUGUGUAGAUUACAAAUGGGACACUAGUUGGUUGGAACUGUUAUAUUGUGUUUCGUACUAGACAGACAAUACCAUAUUUGGACAUAGCAUGUUGAUAUGCUAUUGUCACGGCAAUGGAUAAUGUAGGAAUUAUAUCCUCUUUUUUGCUAUUGUUGGAUUUUAUUUGUGAUGUGUGUAGCUGGUUUUAUAAUCCAAUUUUCCUGGGAUGGAAUGAUAAAUAUUGCAAUGUCAUUUCUGGUUCAAAUUUUUGAGAUAUCGGAUAAAGCAAUGGCCUUAUAUUUUCUUUGAUCAGUGGCUGGAUACAACAUUCGUUAUCAGUCAGAUUUUCUACCAUAAUUAUUGUUUAGAUAUUUUUGUAAUAUUUUUCACUAAUAAAUUCAAUUAAAAAACAACCAUCAGUAAUUCACUAUCACUUUAGGACUUUAUUAACAUCAAUUUUCUAACAUUGUAAAUUUUAUAUUUACAAUUUUGUAUCAAUAAUAGUGCCAGUAGAUCACAAAACCACCAUUCCAUCAUACUUUUGUAAAUCAAUUACACUUUCGCCAUACUUAUUUUCUUAGUUAUUCAUCCACUGACAUAUUUGCAAGGAUUUGAUUAUCUAAAAGGAACAACUACUGAUAAGUUCCAUGGUUGAUUGUGUGUGAAUUAAUAUUAUCAAGAUAUUUGAAUGUGUGACCCGACACCUUUUGUAAAUUUAUAUGAAAAUAAAUAUAGAGGAAAUGCAAAUGAUUUACAGCAGUCUCAGGGUCCUGAAAAAUUGUAUCAAUAGUGGAACAAUAUUCUAUCAUCCGUGUGUGAGGGCCCUGUGACGAAAAUCAAGGUAAUUUAUUUAUAUCUCCAUAUUCAUCAUACAGUGGUUCAUCCGGUCAUCAUACGUGGGUGUUAUCAUCGGUUCACACAUUUUUAUCUGGAUAACAAACUUUAUUUUUGUAUCUGUAUUUAUAGGUAUCAAGUGUAAUAACAAAUGUCAAUAAGCUAAAACAGAGAAUUUAAUGCAAGUUUCUGAAUAAGAAUGCAAGUUUGCUAUUGUGAAAUUUCAUUAAUAUUGUAUUUGAUUGAUCAAUGUUUGGUGUCUCCUCCGUCAUGAUGAAUGAAUCUGUUUAAUCUAAAAUGCUUAUACUCCACAGGUCUUUCUGUGUUUGCUCUAUUUGCAUUUUGCUUAAAUCUGAAUUUAAAAUGUAGAACUGAUUGGGUGACAAGUAUUCCUGAGGCACAAGAUUUAAGCUGCCUCCUUGUGAGUGUUCUGAACACAGGAAUGUGAAAAGCUGCAUGGCAAUAAAUUGAACAGAUGCAAACAAAUACAUUUUAAGAAAAGCACAGAAAAAAUAUGAAGAUUUACUUGUACGUAGUACAUUAUUUUUCUGUUCACCCCCUUUCUAAUGAAUGAUUUUUUUUUUAAGUGUUUAUACAGACACGAUAAGGAUAUACCUAAGUAGCUGAGGGUGUAACCAAAACGCAAAGAUUACUUAAGUCAAAGGUCAUAAUGUCACUCGGAUCAAGUUUUGCUUAACUUGUUUAGUUUAAAAAUAUAUGGUCAUAGAUAUAUAUUACUGCUCCACUUUCAACCAGAUUGACUUCAAUUAAUUCUAAAGAUAAAUCACUAAUAUUUAUGAAUAUACCAAUCCCCAUAGAAUCUUUUUUUUGGAAAACAAAUCAAAAUGUCAGUGUUGGAUAGAUGGAGAAUACAGUCUAGAGAAAUAGAAUCUAAAUACUGGGAACUGCCAUCAUGGUUACAGAGGAAAAGUUUUAACAGAUUUAUAAUUCAAGGAAAUGCAAAAACUAAGCACUAUUUAGAUUGGCUUCAAUACGAAUGUCUUCUCUAGGUGUUGAGUCAGACCAAUUCUGCAUUUAUUGACUCGUUAGGUUUUGAGGCAGACCAACUCUGGUGUUGAGCCAGACUUGUGGGUAUACCGACUCAUUAGGUUUUGAGGCAGACCAACUCUGGUGUUGAGCCAGACUUGUAGGUUUAUUUACUCGUUACGAGACUGUUUUUACCCACUAGUGACAUGUCAGACCGACGGGUGUCACAUGAGGCUGUCUCAUUAGUAUGUUUAUCCACAGGUUUGGUUUCACUCGCUGGAUUGGGUACUGCAUAAAUGUUUCUUUAGAUUUAAUUUCUCAUCUGUGAUAUUUUUUUUCUUGUUUAUUUUUUGGUUGUAGUUGCCAGUUUUUUAAUUAAAUUCUUUACUACUAUUGAAUCAGUCCACAAGUAAGGUGUAUGUUGUCGGGCUAGAGUGCAAGUACCUGUAUCAUUGAGAAAGGGUACACAUACAUCUGAGUUGGAUAUCAAUGUAAAAGUAUCAUUUUUGUUAAUUACAGUGCGCUUAAAACCACAACUUCUUGUUUGUUCUUUUUUUUCUUGAUCUAGAAUUUGGAGACUUGACAACAAAUAAUAUGUUUGCAUGAUAAAGACAAGUUCAAUAACCACAGUUAUCCAAUCAUAAUUUAUGGAGUUAUGGCCUUUUAUUCAAUUACCAAAAAUAUACGCUAGAUAUCUGGAGUAAUUUUUAAUGAAUUUACUUCAAACCUCAAAGAAAUGCCAAUCACCAUGAAAGCUUGGACAAGUAUGAUAACCACCAUUAAGGAGCUAUGGCCCUUUAUUUUAUUGCCAAAAUAUUGUCUGCUCUAUAUUUAGAGUAAUUAUCAACUGAUUGGCCUCAAACUUCCAAGGAAGGUUGUUACCAUGAAAGCUGAGUCAAGUUGAAUACCCACCAUUAUCUUAACAAUUGAGAGUUAUGGUGUCCACUUGAUAUCUAGAAUAAAUUUCAACAAAUUAACUUCAAAUGUCAUGGGAAGGUCAAUUACCACGAUAGCUUGAUACUCAACAAUAGUCAACCCUAACUGAAAGAGUUAUGACACAUUAUUCAAUUGCCGAAACAGUGUAUGCUUGAUAUCUUGAGUAAUAUUCAACAGAUAAACUUCAAACAAAAGCUUGAUAACCAUAUAACUAUGAAAGCUUGGACAAAGUUUGAUACCAACCAUUAUCAAUCUGUAAUUUAUGGAGUUGUGGCCCCUUAUCAGAAACAGUCCACUCUGUAGCCUCCAAGUUCAUAGGAUUACCAUUAAAGCGGGGACAAAUUUGAUAACACUAUUUUCCAAUCAUAAUUUAUUGAGUUAUGGCCCUUUAUAUGAUAUGCAUUCCCUCGUCUUAAGCUAGUCAAGUACAGUAUGUUUUCUCCAUUCACUACAUCACAGGAACAGUUCUCAACUUUAAUUAUCAAUACAGUACAAAUGUAGUUCCUUAUAUUUUCAAACAAUGUACAUCGGAAGGAUUUAAAGUUUGGCAUGGGAUGGACAAACAUUGCUCUGCCUUGUACUCGUGUUAAACAAAUGGAUCCUUCUGGAUAACCAAGACGCCUAAAGUUGUGAUGACGUACAACCCACAACUUGUUGACUGAGUACAACAAUUGUUAAAAUUACUUUGAUUAGAAUUCAAGGGUUCUUGAGUCGUGGUAUUUUUAG